CGGGGAUUAGCUCAAAUGGUAGAGCGCUCGCUUAGCAUGCGAGAGGUAGCGGGAUCAAUGCCUGCAUCCUCCA
rnacentral:tRNA from 1 species